rnacentral:tRNA from 1 species
GCAGGCGCUGGUCGAGGGUGCGGCGGUUGGCCAGCCCGGUGAGCGGGUCGGUGGAGGCCAGUUCUGACAGCACCCGUUCGGCCCGAUAGCGCCGGCGC